GAGCCUGCAUUGGAGAAGGAUAAGGAAAGGGACAAGUCCAAGAAGCGGGCAUCUAGUGGACCCGCGGGGUAGUCGAGCUCCAAGCGACCCCCGCGGCAACAGUGAUCGCAGUGGCGGGGAGGCAAGAGUCAGACUCAGAGCCAGACUACCUACCCGUGCGUGAUAUGUGGCGGAGACCACCGAGUUACUACUUGCCCACAGCGGGAGGGGCGGUGUUACCGAUGCGGCCAACCGGGACACAUAGGCCGAGAGUGCCCGGGCAGCGCAUCCCCAGCUCCGUCAUCAGCUUUAGUUCAGUACACUCAGCGACAGCUGGCAGGACUGCCACCCGCUACAUUUGCUGGACGAUCGUCGGCGCCUCGUCAGCCGGAGGCCUCUCGAGCGCCUAGUGGGCGGGUAUUUGCCACUCAGGUGGAGGAGCCGUCGAUUACCGUUCCCGACGACGUAGUGGCAGGUAUUAU
rnacentral:lncRNA from 1 species